UACGUAGGCAGCAAGCGUUGUUCGGAGUUACUGGGCGUAAAGGGUGCGUAGGCGGUUGUUUAAGUUUGGUGUGAAAUCUCCCGGCUCAACUGGGAGGGUGCGCCGAGUACUGAAUGACUAGAGUGCGGGAGAGGAUAGUGGAAUUCCUGGUGUAGCGGUGAAAUGCGUAGAUAUCGGGAGGAACACCAGUGGCGAAGGCGGCUCACUGGACCGGUACUGGACGCUGAAGCGCGAAAGCGUGGGGAGCAACGGG
rnacentral:rRNA from 1 species